GCUUGAAGCCAAUCUGGAACCAGAUUCAGCAUCAGGCUUGGACUGGUGCAGGGAGAAUGAAGUGAGGAGCAUCCCCAGCUCAUGCUUGCCAAUUUGAGGUCAAGGGGAGAUGACUGAAAUCAAGAUGAUGAGAACCACUGAAGAAUUCUCCUGCACUUGAUGGGAGCGAUAAACAUGCUGGCAAGAGGAAGCCAGAAAGAUGCAUCGCCUACUUUGGCAUCUCAGAGAAGAGCAUGAAGGGCCUGAAUGAAUCCAAAUCCCAGCACCCACAUAGAGCCCUUCAGCACACAAGUGGCUUCACAAGCAAACCAAACCUGAGGAGAAUUUCUGGCACCCCCUUUAGAUACUCUUCAAUAGAGAUGCAUUCAUUUGUUUGGUGAAUUCAAGACUUCCUACUUGAGCUCUUCAUGUCCAAGGAACAACAGAACCUGUUCCCAUGUGGCCAUCUCUGGACAGAUGUUCAGCUAAUGAGAAUGCUUCUGGGAGCAGAGAUCCAAUCCCCCCCCAGGACUGGAGACCACUCUACUUCAGGAGCAGCUGCAGCUGGUGCAGAGUCUACAGGAAAGUGCAGCUCAUCUCUAUUCUUCUGACAUUUCCAGGGCACUGCACUGACUUUGCCCCCAAGGCAAAGUGGCUACUGACACGAAUAUUUGCUUAAUCAGACUGCCACGCUAGGAACCAAUUUUGUUUGAAAUCCUUUUAAUUCUGUUUUGUACAUGCAGCCUUAAGUCCUCAUGCUGGUUAAUGGAGAGUGUUUGGAUGCCCCGUGGCAGCUUGUUAACGCUCUGUUAAUGCCAAUUACAGCAGACCGUGAGUGUGGAGAAUCAGGGUGGUUGCUCUGCUGUGGAAAGGGCAUGGUUGGAGACACAUUUCUGACAACAGUCACAAAAUGCAACAAACUUCUCAGCUGAAGGGCAACAUGUAAUGAAAUAUAGGCUGGCUUUUAGAUUUGUGAUCUACAAGCACCGUGAUGUGAGAUGGGAAAGGUUCAGAACCCUGUUUGGGCACACUGUACAUGAGAUAGGAUGACAGGGCUGCUUGAACUUAGCAUCAAAUGACCUGGUAACUUUUGCUAUGAUGAGUGAUACCAAUGGAGAUGUCAGGUGUAUAUCAUGGCUGCUCUCAAAAUAACACCUAGAGAAAGGUCCUGUAACAACAAAACCUAGAAAAUAGUCUGAGCUGGGAUCACAAGAAAGUCUGAUCUCAUCAUAAGGACAUGCUUGGAUCCAUCCAGCAGCAGAAGUUUGCAAAGGACCAAAGCAAUCCCAGGGUUUGGACUCAGCAAGCCAACAGGCUGUCAAAGGCUGUUCAAAGUUUUCAGUCACUUGGCAAUUUUUAAGCAAUUUUUAUCUGUAAAAAGAGACCACAGUGUUAUAUAAGGUAGAUGUAAUUGCACAUAAACAAGUAGAGCCACAGACUUCAUUUCUGGCUCUGUUUACAAUGCCAGAACUGGCAGACUGAUGGGAUUUGUCCUAAUGAGCUAAUUGGGAAAAUUUCCCUUGUCUGUUCCAUCACAAGCUUGUUGUGCUCUAAUCAGCUACUCCUCAACAGCUUAUCAGGAACAACUGCGAGCUUUAACCUGCUGUAUUCUUCUUGGCUUUGAGAUGAGCUGUGAGUGCCUAUGAGAGCCAGAGAUUUGGACUCAGGGCUGUGGUAAGAGUCCUCAUGGCUGAAGGAUUGGGUUUUCUUCCUGCAUGUUAUUGCCCUCCCCCGUUUUCUUUUCGUUCUGUUUUGUUUUUUCCUGGGAUUCUUUUCUUCUCCUGGAUGAUUCAUCUUUUCCAUAUGGGUUGUGAUGGGAAAUAAGUCCUACCCAAGUUUGUCUUGUUCUUCUCAAAACUGCAUCUAGCUUUAAUUACCAUGGUUACCUGCAUCUCUGCACUCUAUCAGGGAGCACCGCUGAAUGCAAACCAGCUGAGAGCAGGGAAAAGAUUCUUAUUUCUACCAGCAUAAAAAAAUCUCUCUCCUGAUUCCUGUAUCCCAGGUCUGAAUUUCCCAUUGAUUUUUUUCUUUCUGUUCAUCCUGAUGAACUCUUUUGAGCACUCUGCAGGCCAAUACUUAUAGCAAAUGCUCCAGAGAGGGUAUGCACAAUAAGCCAGAGAUUCUGACCAACAACAAACAACAGAGUUAUUUCAAAACACAUUAAUCAUCCGAGCUCCUUUGUUCAGAGAACAGUGCAGGUAGCAGGAGGUUCCUAUGUACUCUUGAUCAAGCAGUGCAGCUUGAAUACAAAGAAUACAAUAAUUCACUUCUCCCUUUAAAUCUGCAUAAUUCAAUGCUUACUAAUGAUAAAACUUAGAAAGCUAAUUUGGGCAUUUGUAGUCUGCACAUCAAAGUCCACAAUACUGCAGGUGUCUCCUUACAUUUUCAUAAUUCCCUUAAUGGACUUAGGAUACCUUGCUUGGCUGUCUGUUAUGUGAUUACUUAUCUGUUAUACUCCCAAGCACCUGAAAGUUAGGACUGCAGGUUUCCGAGCAUGCCUUUUUCUUAUGGAAGAGCCAUAAGCAGCGUGAGCUGACCAUUCCUGAAUGUCAGCCCUUGUUUAUUUAAUAACAGCUGCAUUUAUCAUAGAAUCAUGGGAUGGGCUGGGAUGGAAGGGUCCUCAAAGCUCAUCUAAUUCCAGCCCCCACAAUGGUGCCCCCUCAGCUCAGGCUGCCCAUGGCCCCAUCCAUGGCCUUAGGCACCCCAAGGGAUGGGACACCCACGGCUCUGGGCAGCCUGUGCUUACACCAUAAAUGGUAAGGAAGGCUAACUGAUGAGAAAUAGCAUCCUUGUUGAUAAAUACUACUCAAUGUAAGGAUAUAGUCUGAGCAUUUUCAGUCAGGUUUUUUUCAGUAUCACAGAUAAAGUAAAGGAAGCAUUUUCUGUGACUUGUUCUGGUGUUUGUUGCCAUAAAGGAAACAAUCAGCACUUCAAGGCUAUGGGAGCCAACAGCACCAUUCAGUGGAGGUAUGGAUCUGAUAACCUAAAGCCUUCAUGAGGCUGAGCCAGGAUUAAAUCUAAGCAAACCAGAUUUACUACUCAGGUGACUUGUAAAUCUAUAGCUCAGAUGAGGAAGCAGAGCUUAUUAGCAACAGCAUGCAAAGAUAGGUGGCCUGCUUACAGAUCCAAGGAGGCAAUACACAGCUGAAUUGAUGGGUAACACUGUCACAUAACUACUUACAGACUUCUCUUAGAGCCAUAACUGCUGGUGCUUUAACCCCCCUCUAGUGUGAGGCAACCAUUUGACUGUAAUAUGUCCAGAAAAAGCUGAAAGAUCUGAGGGACAACACACGUCAGGCAUCACUCCCUUAUACAUGUGGGGCUUCACUGGGUACUAUGUAGAUCCUGGGCUUUGUUAGCACUGGAGACCCUACCAGCUCUCUAAGUAUAUUUCUUUUUCAGUACAAAUAUAUGCAGACAUUUUUAGGAGACCUUUCAGAGAAAAUCAAAUCAAAACAAUACCUCUCUGAAACAGUGGGAUUCAUCCUUCCCCAGGAACCAGUUCUACAUUGUUCAAUAAAAAGCUCGAGCAUAACCAAGAAAAAUGGCUCCAGAGUGUAUUUCUGGUUGCCAAGAAUUUAUUACUGCAGAUGCAGAUGGACGUGGCUAUUCCUAAGUAAAUAGAUUGGACCAGUUCUGAGUGCUGCAGGGGGCCGUGAGGGAUUCUCUUGAAUGCCAUCCAGCAGAAGCAAUGCCAGCCACCAAGUAAAAUAUCCUGCCAUCAAAACCCAGGCCACGUCCUUAUUUUGUCCAAAGAAGUGGACUGGUGUACUCUUCAUGGCAGUGUGACUUGUGACAGCUAACCUGUGCUGGGCCCCAUCCAGCCUUGUUGUUACAUGGGUGAUAGUGUGGUGUAGGUGUAGGUAGGUGAGGGCCUGAAAUCAUAGAAUCAUUGAAUGGCUUAGGUUGGAGGGGACCUUGAGGAUUCCAUCAGCCCACUGUGGGCCAGUUGCCCCCACCAGCCCCAUCCAGCCUGGCCUUGGGCACCUCCAGGGAUGAGGCAUCUUUGAGUCAUCUCCACCAUCUGCAAUACACCUGGUGCAUCCUUUCAUGCAUCAUGUAGAUUGGGUUAUCAGCACCUGGGGUGGAGCCAGGACAUUUUGGUUCCCACUGCAGGAGGGUUCCUCAGCAUUGCCAGACAGGAGAAGAUGAAUAACACCACAAAGCUUUCUAGCAGGGGAUGCAGGAGCCAAGGUUCCUCUUGCAGUGGACGAUCUUUGCCUCACUGUCUAUUUAGCCAAAAGAAAAAAGUAAGAGAACAAGAGACGUCUGUGUUUGCUGAAGCAGUACAAAGAAACUCUAAAGCAUCCAAAGCUCAAAGCUUCGAUGUAUAAAUCAAACAUGUUUCAGCUCACACGCCAUUUACUGCAAAUACAAUGCUGGGAAUUCAAUAUUUGCCUUCUGGAACAGGAGGUGUUUCACUGGGCCCUUCUGUGGCAUGAUAUUAUUCUUGUCCACUGACCGAAUGAGUCUCAGGCUGAAGUUUCCCCUGCAAAUGCUGGUGAUUACUGGAGCAAUUUGAAACGAUAUUCAUUUCAUGCUCAUUGUUAGAAAAGACAUCUCUGCCUGUAAAUGUGUUUGCUCGGUCAAGAGCUGAAAGCAAACAGACAAAAGAGGGACAAGCAGUCAAGGCAAUCUCUGGGAAAAGAAAUAGCUCUUCAUAGCAAAACAUUCACUUACAGUAGACUUAAGCCUCAACAAUGGCAAAGGCGCCGUGAGGGGUUUAACAUUCAGAGGAGUGAAGGGAUGAAUAAUUUGCAGUGCACCUGGUGCUCAGAGCUCAGUACCAGCUGGAGCAACCAUGGCUCAGAGAUUGUAUUGGGGACCAGAGCUCACAACAGCACGAGGCAUCUCCAGUUCGUUAUCAUGUUUGCCAUGGGGGAGAAUUGAGAUCCUGGCCUCUCUUUCCCCCAGUCCAAUUCCUUUUAAUGUUUGGUUUCUUUAACAGGUAUUUUAGAAAGAUUUCUGAAAGCAUCACUUCUAGAAGUGCCUCCCCUAUGGAUGGAUUGUGCAGCCGUGUACUCUCAAAUUGGAGUGGAAAGUAAAUUGUGUUUCGUGGAUCCAUGUGAAGACUGUCCAUGGGAAUUAUACCUUUUUGCUUUAUUUCUAAAGCUCCGAAGGAAGUGAAUUACAGAAUUAGAGUUCAUUUUACAGCUUAUUAAAA